AAUCAAAUCUAUAUUUAAGAUAUUCAAGUUAAAAUGAAAUUCUCUGCCGUUUCAUUUACAUACCAGCACCUUUUUCUGGGUUUAGGUCACAUUGCAGGAUUUAGCGGAUACGUACCAGCCUCCAUUCCAGAGCUGCAUACAAGAAGGAAAAGCUAGUGGGAUAAUGUGUGCUUAUAAUCGUGUUAAUGGGGUCCCAAAUUGUGCAGAUCACAAUCUAUUGUCCAAAAAGGCCAGAGGGCAGUGGGGCUUCUACGGGUACAUCACAUCAGAUUGUGAUGCAGUCGCCAUAAUUCACGAUGAUCAGGGAUACGCUAAAUCACCAGAAGAUGCUGUUGCAGAUGUACUUAAAGCCGGGAUGGAUGUUAACUGUGGUGAUUACUUGAAGAACUACACCAAAUCAGCUGUCAAAAAGAAAAAAUUGCCGGAAUCUGAAAUAGACAGAGCCCUUCACAACCUUUUCUCUAUAAGGAUGAGAUUAGGACUAUUCAAUGGCAAUCCCGCUAAACAGCCUUAUGGCAACAUUGCUCCAGACCAAGUCUGUUCCCAAGAGCAUCAGGCUCUAGCCCUAAAAGCAGCUCAAGAUGGCAUAGUCCUGCUAAAGAAUCCUGAUAAGCUUCUCCCGCUUUCAAAAUUGGAAACCAAGUCCCUUGCAGUUAUUGGCCCCAAUGCUAAUAAUUCAACGAAACUUCUUGGAAACUAUUUUGGUCCACCCUGUAAAACUGUUACACCACUGCAAGGAUUGCAGAAUUAUAUCAAGAACACUAGGUAUCACCCAGGUUGCAGUAGGGUUGCAUGCUCUUCAGCUUCAAUAAAUCAAGCAGUAAAAAUCGCGAAGGUGGCAGAUCAAGUGAUAUUGGUUCUGGGACUAGAUCAAACUCAGGAGAAGGAGGACCACGAUCGUGUGGACCUGGUGCUCCCAGGGAAGCAGCGGGAGCUGAUAACUGCUGUAGCAAAAGCUGCAAAAAAACCAGUUGUUCUGGUGCUUUUUUGUGGAGGUCCAGUAGAUGUAUCUUUCGCCAAAUAUGAUCAGAACAUUGGAAGCAUUAUAUGGGCUGGCUAUCCAGGUGAAGCUGGAGGAACUGCACUGGCACAAAUUAUAUUUGGCGACCAUAACCCAGGAGGGAGAUUGCCAAUGACUUGGUAUCCACAAGAUUUCACCAAAGUACCAAUGACAGACAUGAGAAUGCGUCCUCAACUAUCUUCAGGCUAUCCUGGCCGUACUUACAGGUUCUACAACGGGAAAAAGGUUUUUGAAUUCGGCUAUGGUCUCAGCUACUCAAACUAUUCUUAUGAGCUUGCUUCUGAUACACAGAACAAGCUCCACUUGAGAGCUUCAAGUAAUCAACUAACUAAGAACUCAAAUACUAUAAGACACAAGCUAAUUUCAGAUAUUGGUAAAGAACUCUGCGAAAAAAGUAAGUUUACAGUUAUUGUCAGAGUUAAAAACCAUGGAGGGAUGGCAGGUAAGCAUCCAGUGUUGCUUUUUGUGAGGCAAGCAAAUCCUGGAAAUGAAAGGCCAAUCAAAAAGUUGGUUGGAUUCCAAACUGUGAAUUUAAAUGCAGGGGAGAAUGCUGAAAUUCAAUAUGAGCUGAGCCCUUGCGAGCACCUUAGCAGUCCUGACGAUCGUGGUUUGAUGGUGAUGGAAGAAGGAUCUCAGUUCUUUCUUAUUGGAGACAAGGAAUACCCAAUCACUAUAAUAUUAUAGUACUCGGUAAUGAUUCUUUAUGAUAUGACUCUGCCAUGGAACGUGUUUGGUAAUUGGGAUACAGAGGCUUUGUCAAUGCACAAAUAGAAGAUCUCAGAAUAGCUGGCUAAGUCGAAGGUGCAAUGGAGAGAUUUAGGCCGUCAUUGAAGGAAUCACUGCAUGAUGGGAACCUGGCGAUCGUUCGUGGAUUUGAAGGAUUCAUCUUUUUAUUCAGGCACCGUAACAGCUCAGAAAGUAAUGCAUAGCGCAGAUAUUCCUUUUUUGGCAGAUAUUCUUAUUUUUCCUAAAAAUUAUCAAACGUCACAGAUCCUCAAUAUCAACAUUAUUGCGGGACUUUGUCCCGCAAAGUUCAGUUCUACAGUAAAAUUUCUGCCAUAACCAAAGUUUGCCUUCAUGAAUCUCAAAGCUUUCAGGACACUUCUUUGAUAACCCAUCUAGCAACCCGAAGACGCAGGAUUCACUGCCCUCCAGUAGCAUUUAUACUCUGGCAUAAUCAUCUCACUUUACUUCGUUUUCUCAGCAACCAAACAAAAAAGUUCAGUUCUACAGUAAAAUUUCUGCCAUAACCAAAGUUUGCCUUCAUGAAUCUCAAAGCUUUCAGGACCCUUCUUUGAUAACCCAUCUAGCAACCCGAGGACGAAGGAUUCACUGCCCUCCAGUAGCAUUUAUACUCUGGCAUAAUCAUCUCACUUUAAUUCGUUUUCUCAGCAACCAAACAAAACAUAUUUGAGAGGGAGGGAGGGAGGAGAUGAGAGACGUGAGAAAGCUUGUGGAUGACUACUUUUGGGUUUAAUUUAGGGUUGGGAUUUGGAAGAGGGAGGGGCAAAGAGAAAGGGGGGCUAGUUUAAAGAAAGUUAUACCUCUC